rnacentral:misc_RNA from 1 species
GUUCCGAUCCUUCACUUGGUCAAGAAUAAAUGAGAUGACACUAGACCUAUAUUGGCCAUCACUUUGGGUGCAGAUCAACAGAAGAAGAUCAUGAACUGGGAAAGCAAGAGGCUCCUUCACUUGCAAAAGCUUUAUGCAUGUUGAUAACAACUCAUCAACUGGAGGAAGUUGGGCAAUCUCUUCCUCAAGCUGUUGACCAUUGGCAUUUGCAUCCUCUUCCUUUAUAUCUGAUUCUGAGUUCCCCAGAGACAUGGCAAGUGCACGAGCAAGCUCAUCAUCUUCUUGAGUUUCCUCAGGGUGGGAAAAUAACCACUCCAUUGCCAAUUCCACACUAUUAGAUCCAACUUGCCUUAGAGCCUCUUCUGCCCUUGACCUGGAAAAACCCAUCUCCACAAUGGUUGAAAU